rnacentral:rRNA from 1 species
CAGUAGCCGCGGGAAUACGGAGGGGGCUAGCGUUGUUCGGAAUUACUGGGCGUAAAGCGCACGUAGGCGGCUUGGUAAGUUAGAGGUGAAAGCCUGGAGCUCAACUCCAGAAUUGCCUUUAAGACUGCCGAGCUAGCAGGUGAGAGAGGUAAGUGGAAUUCCGAGUGUAGAGGUGAAAUUCGUAGAUAUUCGGAAGAACACCAGUGGCGAAGGCGGCCCCCUGGACAAAGACUGACGCUCAGGUGCGAAAGCGUGGGGAGCAAACAGGAUUAGAUACCCGGGUAGUCCCUGUCUCUUAUAC